GAAAACAAAUCCCAGCUCCCGAGGAAGACAGCAGAGGCGGGGCUCCAGCGCUCGCCUGGCCGGGGAGGGCAGGGCCUGGCGCGCCGCAGGCUGUGUUUCCUUUGUCUCCGGCAUCUUCCCUAAGUAGGGUGCUUGGUUGUGGACACGUCAAAAGGGAUCGCGGACGUCCCCGAGUGGUUCCGCGGCAGUCGUCUCAACUACGCGGAAAACCUGCUGCGGCACACAGAGAAUGACAGGGUCGCCCUCUACGUGGCCAGGGAAGGCAGAGAGGAGAUCAUGAAGGUGACCUUUGAAGAGCUGCGGCAGCAGGUGGCUUUGUUUGCAGCAAGCAAUGAGGAAGAUGGGGU